ensembl:misc_RNA Metazoa_SRP Metazoan signal recognition particle RNA
GCCAGGUGUGGUGAUGCAUGCCUGUAGUCCCAGCUACUCAGGAGGCUGAGGCAGGAGGAUCGUUUGAGCCCAGGAGGCUCUUGCAGUGAGCUGCAAGAUCACUGUGAUCUUGCAGUGAGCUGAGAUCAUGUGACUGCACUUCAGCUUGGGCAACAGAGCAAGAUCCUGUCUCAA